AGCAUACAAGGCAUACGGCUCAGUAACGCGUAGUCAACCUAACCUAUGGACGGGAAUAGCCUCGGGAAACUGAGAAUAAUGCCCGAUAGAACAUUAUGCCUGGAAUGGUUUAUGUUCCAAAUGAUUUAUCGCCGUAGGAUGGGACUGCGGCCUAUCAGUUUGUUGGUGAGGUAAUGGCCCACCAAGACUAAUACAGGUACGGGCUCUGAGUGGAGUAGCCCGGAGAUGGGUACUGAGACACGGACCCAGGCCCUAUGGGGCGCAGCAGGCGAGAAAACUUUGCAAUGUGCGAAAGCACGACAAGGUUAAUCCGAGUGGUUUCUGCUAAAGAAACCUUUUGUCAGUCCUAGAAACACUGAUGAAUAAGGGGUGGGCAAGUUCUGGUGUCAGCCGCCGCGGUAAAACCAGCACCUCAAGUGGUCAGGAUGAUUAUUGGGCCUAAAGCAUCCGUAGCUGGCUCUGUAAGUUUUCGGUUAAAUCUGUACGCUCAACGUACAGGCUGCCGGGAAUACUGCAGAGCUAGGGAGUGGGAGAGGUAGACGGUACUCGGUAGGAAGGGGUAAAAUCCUUUGAUCUAUUGAUGACCACCUGUGGCGAAGGCGGUCUGCCAGAACACGUCCGACGGUGAGGGAUGAAAGCUGGGGGAGCAAACCGGAUUAGAUACCCGGGUAGUCCCAGUUGUAAACUAUGCAAACUCAGUGAUGCAUUGGCUUGUGGCCAAUGCAGUGCUGCAGGGAAGCCGUUAAGUUUGCCGCCUGGGAAGUACGUACGCAAGUAUGAAACUUAAAGGAAUUGGCGGGGGAGCACCACAAGGGGUGAAGCCUGCGGUUCAAUUGGAGUCAACGCCGGA
rnacentral:rRNA from 1 species